rnacentral:rRNA from 1 species
CCUACGGGUGGCAGCAGUGAGGAAUAUUGGUCAAUGGACGAGAGUCUGAACCAGCCAAGUAGCGUGAAGGAUGACUGCCCUAUGGGUUGUAAACUUCUUUUAUAAAGGAAUAAAACGAGGCACGUGUGCCUUUUUGCAUGUACUUUAUGAAUAAGGAUCGGCUAACUCCGUGCCAGCAGCCGCGGUAAUACGGAGGAUCCGAGCGUUAUCCGGAUUUAUUGGGUUUAAAGGGAGCGUAGAUGGGUUGUUAAGUCAGUUGUGAAAGUUUGCGGCUCAACCGUAAAAUUGCAAUUGAUACUGGCAGUCGUGAGGACAGUUGAGGUAGGCGGAAUUCGUGGUGUAGCGGUGAAAUGCUUAGAUAUCACGAAGAACCCCGAUUGCGAAGGCAGCUUACUAAACUGUGACUGACAUUGAUGCUCGAAAGUGUGGGUAUCAAACAGGAUGAGAUACCCUAGUAGUC